CUCUUGUACUUCCUCCAUAAAACAUCUCUCUUCCUCUCAAUUAAUUUAUUCAUCAAUUAUGAAGUGGGUUUUGUUAUUGAUGAUUUGUGGGGUGGGGCGAGGAUAUUUGUUCAUCAAUUUUCACCAAGAAAACUGUUCACCAAAGUUUGUGAUCUUUUCAACUGGUAGAUCUUUUAUUUUCUGAAAAAUAAUAGUUAUUUUUAACUUGUAACUCGGAUCAAUAGAGUUAUUUUUUUUUUGUUUCAAAGUUGAUGGAGGUAUUUAGUUUACAACUACUUUGAUGUUUUUAUUAGUGAUUUCCCUAUCUCCACUAUGUUGUCCUUGGCUCAUUCAUCUUUUCUUUUCUGUCAUAUGAUACAAUAUUAAUUGUCUAUUCAGAGAGUGUAUGUUUGGACUAGAAUAGGAUAGUGACUCGUAACAGGUCAAAUGUUUUGAGCGUUUCUUAAAUUUCGAUUACUUAAGAUAUAAAUAUACAUUUACAAAGCACAAAAAUGGCACUUUGGUGAACAGUAAAAUGACAUAGUGCGAAACAGGAGUAAAAGCUUUAAACUAGAUUAAAACAAGUGGUGAAACCUUUUCUGGUAUUUUAUGUAUUUAUUUUUGCAAGGGCUAAUGACGCGGUGUUAGAAAUUCACGAAGAUGAAUAUUUUUCUGCAAUAUCAGAGGAAGACGAAGACGAGGAAACGACUGGUGGGGAUGACACUUAACAACCACGGUCUCAUGAGAUAGUGCUCUACAUUUCAUAAGCUCUUUUAUAUCAUGUGGAAUUUUCAUCUGAUCAUAAAGAAGAACAAAUUUUGUCUGAUGCUGAAGGGGAAAACAUUCCAUUUAAUGUAGAAGAAGAAGCACUUCCUGAGCAAGUGCAACCUGUUGUGGUUUUUGACACUGUGUUCAUAGGACUUAUAAAAUUUUUAGCUGAGGCGUAUUUAGCUCUGUUGGCCUUGGAUGGACUACUUCAUUUAUCCAUGCUACCUAUCUUUUGGGCGUCAUUCUCUUUUUUUUUUUGGAUAGGCUUUACGUUUGCCAUUUGGAUUAUGUUUAUUGAGAAAUACACUCAUGACCGACUUGACCCGGUUACUCUACUAUGUUAUAAAACCUUAUCCUUUUCAGCUUUUUUUAUGGGGCUAACGUCUCUGAUGAUAAGCAUUUCAAUAUCUCUCUAUGAGGCUGAUGCUAAGAAGUGGAGCUCUAAUAAGGUUGGGUGAUUGAGUAGUAUCUAGUUGGUUCUGUACAUAUAGUAGAAUAAUGGACAUGAUUAGAUCAUGGGUUGUUUUAUUCUACUUAGGAUUUUAUAUAUUUGUUGGUAAACCUUUUGUGUGUUAAUGGAGAAACAUUUGGAUAGUUUAUGAUAAAUGCCGACUAACACAAUUGUUA